rnacentral:rRNA from 1 species
AGUGAACGCUGGCGGUAGGCCUAACACAUGCAAGUCGAACGGCAGCACAGUAAGAGCUUGCUCUUACGGGUGGCGAGUGGCGGACGGGUGAGGAAUACAUCGGAAUCUACUAUUUCGUGGGGGAUAACGUAGGGAAACUUACGCUAAUACCGCAUACGACCUACGGGUGAAAGCAGGGGAUCUUCGGACCUUGCGCGAUUGAAUGAGCCGAUGUCGGAUUAGCUAGUUGGCGGGGUAAAGGCCCACCAAGGCGACGAUCCGUAGCUGGUCUGAGAGGAUGAUCAGCCACACUGGAACUGAGACACGGUCCAGACUCCUACGGGAGGCAGCAGUGGGGAAUAUUGGACAAUGGGCGCAAGCCUGAUCCAGCCAUACCGCGUGGGUGAAGAAGGCCUUCGGGUUGUAAAGCCCUUUUGUUGGGAAAGAAAAGCAGCAGGUUAAUACCCCGCUGUUCUGACGGUACCCAAAGAAUAAGCGCCGGCUAACUUCGUG